AUCAACCAUCAUCUUCCGCUGGAU
rnacentral:siRNA from 1 species